UUAAGCGACUAAGCGUACACGGUGGAUGCCCUGGCAGUCAGAGGCGAUGAAGGACGUGCUAAUCUGCGAUAAGCGUCGGUAAGGUGAUAUGAACCGUUAUAACCGGCGAUUUCCGAAUGGGGAAACCCAGUGUGAUUCGUCACACUAUCAUUAACUGAAUCCAUAGGUUAAUGAGGCGAACCGGGGGAACUGAAACAUCUAAGUACCCCGAGGAAAAGAAAUCAACCGAGAUUCCCCCAGUAGCGGCGAGCGAACGGGGAGGAGCCCAGAGCCUGAAUCAGUGUGUGUGUUAGUGGAAGCGUCUGGAAAGGCGCGCGAUACAGGGUGACAGCCCCGUACACAAAAAUGCACAUGCUGUGAGCUCGAUGAGUAGGGCGGGACACGUGGUAUCCUGUCUGAAUAUGGGGGGACCAUCCUCCAAGGCUAAAUACUCCUGACUGACCGAUAGUGAACCAGUACCGUGAGGGAAAGGCGAAAAGAACCCCGGCGAGGGGAGUGAAAAAGAACCUGAAACCGUGUACGUACAAGCAGUGGGAGCCUCUUUAUGGGGUGACUGCGUACCUUUUGUAUAAUGGGUCAGCGACUUAUAUUCUGUAGCAAGGUUAACCGAAUAGGGGAGCCGAAGGGAAACCGAGUCUUAACUGGGCGUUAAGUUGCAGGGUAUAGACCCGAAACCCGGUGAUCUAGCCAUGGGCAGGUUGAAGGUUGGGUAACACUAACUGGAGGACCGAACCGACUAAUGUUGAAAAAUUAGCGGAUGACUUGUGGCUGGGGGUGAAAGGCCAAUCAAACCGGGAGAUAGCUGGUUCUCCCCGAAAGCUAUUUAGGUAGCGCCUCGUGAAUUCAUCUCCGGGGGUAGAGCACUGUUUCGGCAAGGGGGUCAUCCCGACUUACCAACCCGAUGCAAACUGCGAAUACCGGAGAAUGUUAUCACGGGAGACACACGGCGGGUGCUAACGUCCGUCGUGAAGAGGGAAACAACCCAGACCGCCAGCUAAGGUCCCAAAGUCAUGGUUAAGUGGGAAACGAUGUGGGAAGGCCCAGACAGCCAGGAUGUUGGCUUAGAAGCAGCCAUCAUUUAAAGAAAGCGUAAUAGCUCACUGGUCGAGUCGGCCUGCGCGGAAGAUGUAACGGGGCUAAACCAUGCACCGAAGCUGCGGCAGCGACACUAUGUGUUGUUGGGUAGGGGAGCGUUCUGUAAGCCUGCGAAGGUGUACUGUGAGGUAUGCUGGAGGUAUCAGAAGUGCGAAUGCUGACAUAAGUAACGAUAAAGCGGGUGAAAAGCCCGCUCGCCGGAAGACCAAGGGUUCCUGUCCAACGUUAAUCGGGGCAGGGUGAGUCGACCCCUAAGGCGAGGCCGAAAGGCGUAGUCGAUGGGAAACAGGUUAAUAUUCCUGUACUUGGUGUUACUGCGAAGGGGGGACGGAGAAGGCUAUGUUGGCCGGGCGACGGUUGUCCCGGUUUAAGCGUGUAGGCUGGUUUUCCAGGCAAAUCCGGAAAAUCAAGGCUGAGGCGUGAUGACGAGGCACUACGGUGCUGAAGCAACAAAUGCCCUGCUUCCAGGAAAAGCCUCUAAGCAUCAGGUAACAUCAAAUCGUACCCCAAACCGACACAGGUGGUCAGGUAGAGAAUACCAAGGCGCUUGAGAGAACUCGGGUGAAGGAACUAGGCAAAAUGGUGCCGUAACUUCGGGAGAAGGCACGCUGAUAUGUAGGUGAAGCGACUUGCUCGUGGAGCUGAAAUCAGUCGAAGAUACCAGCUGGCUGCAACUGUUUAUUAAAAACACAGCACUGUGCAAACACGAAAGUGGACGUAUACGGUGUGACGCCUGCCCGGUGCCGGAAGGUUAAUUGAUGGGGUUAGCGCAAGCGNNNNNNNNNNNNNNNNNNNNNNNNNNNNNNNNNNNNNNNNNNNNNNNNGCAAGCGAAGCUCUUGAUCGAAGCCCCGGUAAACGGCGGCCGUAACUAUAACGGUCCUAAGGUAGCGAAAUUCCUUGUCGGGUAAGUUCCGACCUGCACGAAUGGCGUAAUGAUGGCCAGGCUGUCUCCACCCGAGACUCAGUGAAAUUGAACUCGCUGUGAAGAUGCAGUGUACCCGCGGCAAGACGGAAAGACCCCGUGAACCUUUACUAUAGCUUGACACUGAACAUUGAGCCUUGAUGUGUAGGAUAGGUGGGAGGCUUUGAAGUGUGGACGCCAGUCUGCAUGGAGCCGACCUUGAAAUACCACCCUUUAAUGUUUGAUGUUCUAACGUUGGCCCGUAAUCCGGGUUGCGGACAGUGUCUGGUGGGUAGUUUGACUGGGGCGGUCUCCUCCUAAAGAGUAACGGAGGAGCACGAAGGUUGGCUAAUCCUGGUCGGACAUCAGGAGGUUAGUGCAAUGGCAUAAGCCAGCUUGACUGCGAGCGUGACGGCGCGAGCAGGUGCGAAAGCAGGUCAUAGUGAUCCGGUGGUUCUGAAUGGAAGGGCCAUCGCUCAACGGAUAAAAGGUACUCCGGGGAUAACAGGCUGAUACCGCCCAAGAGUUCAUAUCGACGGCGGUGUUUGGCACCUCGAUGUCGGCUCAUCACAUCCUGGGGCUGAAGUAGGUCCCAAGGGUAUGGCUGUUCGCCAUUUAAAGUGGUACGCGAGCUGGGUUUAGAACGUCGUGAGACAGUUCGGUCCCUAUCUGCCGUGGGCGCUGGAGAACUGAGGGGGGCUGCUCCUAGUACGAGAGGACCGGAGUGGACGCAUCACUGGUGUUCGGGUUGUCAUGCCAAUGGCACUGCCCGGUAGCUAAAUGCGGAAGAGAUAAGUGCUGAAAGCAUCUAAGCACGAAACUUGCCCCGAGAUGAGUUCUCCCUGACUCCUUGAGAGUCCUGAAGGAACGUUGAAGACGACGACGUUGAUAGGCCGGGUGUGUAAGCGCAGCGAUGCGUUGAGCUAACCGGUACUAAUGAACCGUGAGGCUUAACCU
rnacentral:rRNA from 1 species